UACGAAGGGGACUAGCGUUGUUCGGAUUUACUGGGCGUAAAGCGCGCGUAGGCGGAUCGCUAAGUCAGGGGUGAAAUCCCAGGGCUCAACCCUGGAACUGCCUUUGAUACUGACGGUCUGGAGAUCGGGAGAGGUUGGUGGAAUUCCGAGUGUAGAGGUGAAAUUCGUAGAUAUUCGGAGGAACACCAGAAGCGAAAGGCGGCCAACUGGCCCGAUACUGACGCUGAGGCACGAAAGCGUGGGGAGCAAACAGG
rnacentral:rRNA from 1 species